rnacentral:tRNA from 1 species
UCCCUGGUGGUCCAGUGGUUAAGAUUCUCUGCUUCCAAUGCAGGGGGCAACAGGUUUGAUCCCUGGUCAGGGAA